UAGGGAAUCUUCGGCAAUGGACGGAAGUCUGACUGAGCAACGCCGCGUGAGUGAAGAAGGUUUUCGGAUCGUAAAGCUCUGUUGUUAGAGAAGAACGUUGGUAGGAGUGGAAAAUCUACCAAGUGACGGUAACUAACCAUAAAGGGACGGCUAAAUACGUGCCAGCAGCCGCGGUAAUACGUAGGUCCCGAGCGUUGUCCGGAUUUAUUGGGCGUAAAGCGAGCGCAGGCGGUUCUUUAAGUCUGAAGUUAAAGGCAGUGGCUUAACCAUUGUACGGUAUGGAAACUGGAGAGAUUGAGGGCAGAAUGGGAGAGUGGAAUUCCGUGUGUAGCAGUGAAAUGCGUAGAUAUAUGGAGGACCGCCGGUGGCGAGAGCGGCUCUCUGGUCUGUAACUGACGCUGAGGCUCGCAAGCGUGGGGAGCAAACAGG
rnacentral:rRNA from 1 species